UUAAGACCAGAAGGCCACUCAAGGCUCAGGGGCUCAACCACCUGGGUAACGAGUGGCUACCUCUGGCAGAAAACAUUGCUGAUCUGGCUACUGGACUCCAAAACGUUGUAACAUCAAUAUCAUUACAGCCACCACUUAGAUCUGGUGUCACAAUAGCUUGGAUUUUAAAAAAAAAAACACUUUUUUCACUGUUAUAGAUUGAAUAGCAGUCAGUGUCCUUAAAGCGGGUGUGUUACGCUAACAGUGGAUACGGUGACCAGUGCCACCACUUAGAUCUGGUGUCACAAUAGCUUGGAUUUAAACAAAAAACACUUUUUUCACUGUUAUAGAUUGAAUAGCAGUCAGUGUCCUUAAAGCGGGUGUGUUACGCUAACAGUGGAUACGGUGACCAGUGCCACCACUUAGAUCUGGUGACACAAUAGCUUGGAUUUUAAAACAAAAAACUUUUUUCACUGUUAUAGAUUGAAUAGCAGUUAGUUAUCUUCAAGCAGGUGUGUUACGCUAACAGUGGAUACGGUGACCAGUGCCACUGUGGCGAAACCAGCCUCGCCACUGUCCACUGGAGGAGCCUGGUUGCUCGCCUGCUCCCUUUAGACUAUGGCCCGGCAGUUAAAACCUUUUAUUUUCCCUGCAAAGCUUAUUCAUGCCUUUCUGUAGACUGUUAAAGCCAUGCUACCCCAGAUAGCUAUGCCAUGGAGCCCAGCUGUAUACUGAAAGACUGUAUGAAAGACUUUGGCUCCAUGGUGAUUGAACUGUAUUUAUGUGAUCUGAGCGCCAUUCGGUAGUAAUGUGCACUCAGAUCUAAGCUAUCUGGGGAUAUGUAGAAUGUCUGUUUUAUGGAAUAAAUGUAACUGUAUGUAAUUUUAUGUCUUUUAUUGUAUUGUUACUGCCAUGUGGUUAAUGGAGUCUUGCCUCUGUCCUGGGAGAUAAUUGGAUUACUUCACAGUUAUCUCCUGGACAGAGAGGAGGGAUUGUGAUGUAAAUGUGGGUGUGUUUUAUGGUUCCCCUGUAACGAUUGGUUGUACUGUGUCCCACCCUGUGGGAUGUCCUCUUGCAUGGGGACUUGCAUAAAAGCCAGUGUGUGGCCAUUACAGAGAGUUCCUGUUUUAACCCUCAAAGUGAAGUGUCGUCUCAUUAUUGGUGGAAGGAUUUAUUGAAUGCUGUUCCAGUUUGACUGCUAGGAGAGUAAACCUAUUCGUAUGGUUCCUAUUCAACUGUCUACAGCAUUCAUAUGCUUGAGAGGAUUCAUAUGCUUCUCCGGUUCGUUGG